AGAGCCUGUGCUGACGUGUGACUGUCUUCUUUCUUUACAGAUCGCAACGAGAGACAUAAGCCAGAGCAUCGUUCCUCAAGCCAAGGACCCCUGUCAUCCAUUAGAGCGGUAAUCAAGAGAUCUUCUCGGACCUGUAUUCAAAGUGAACUUCAUCGGGAUAGGAGGCGCCCAGAGAUCACCAUUGUGGCAGCAGAGCCACUGAGGCCAGCCUCGUGGUUUCCGGGAGCUCCACCACCAGGACUGGGAUUUCCCUCCACGCCUGUAGGAGGCUCUUGGAGACCCAAUGACUUGGUUCCUGCUGAGCUCCCACCCUCCUACGAACAAGUGAUAAAAGAAAUCAACCAAGUCCAGGUGAACUCCACAAAUAACAAUAAUGCUGCCGCCACUCCAAGGAGCACUAUUACUUCUGCAACCCAGACCGACUUCCCAGAAGAAAUAGACGGCGAUCCACCUCCAACACUACAGGCGCCUCUCAAGCCUCUCCAGUCUUCACCAGCAGCCUCCGCUGGCAAUCUCCCCCCAGGGGUGGCACCUUUAAUAGUCUUUGAUAUUUGUGAAGAGCAGAAUUGUCCUGAAAAACCCAGUGCUACAAGAUGUCCAGUGCCAAGACCAAGAUCAAAAACCAACCUCAGACCAGUAGCUAGGGACGCUCACAGCAAAGAGAAAAA
rnacentral:lncRNA from 1 species